AUUCUCGUGGGGCAGAGAUUGCACUGUGAAACCCUACCGACACUACCCCGGAAGGGCCUGGCCUCCGAGGUGUCUGCAGCGUGCUGCCUUCGCCGGGGCUUUUCAGAAUGGGCCGGGGCCUCGGGGGUCUUCAUCCCCAAGGAAGCCUCUUGAUUUUUGGCACCGCCUUUGUUUUUGGGCCGGAAGCCGUUGUGCGGCUGUCUUCUGUGUUCGUGGCGGCUGUUGCCCUUUCCCAGUGGCUCGGCUUCAUUCCCACUGCCCUGCGACUUGGCAGGCCCAUUUAGCCUGUUGUUAUGAUACUGUGGAUUAAAUCUCCGUCUUUGGUUAGAAGAUCCAUUCUACCAAAAAAGAAAAGAGAUAAGUAUCAGAUGCCAGCAAGCCACUGAUGACACCAGUAGACAUCAGGAAAACCAAAUCUCUAAGCCACAGUUAUAAGCAAAGAAAAUUUGAAGCCUCUAUUAAAAAAUCAUUCCUUCAACACAUCACUGACCAGGAACGUAAAUGGAUGAGCAGUAAGGACGCAAUGGAUUAAGCUCCUUUACAAGGGAAAGAUUUCUGAACUCCUCAAGGUAAUUGCAGCAAAGCACAUCAUCUGAUCUUGAGAACCCAGCAGCCAUUCAGAGGAGCUCCAACCUACAUCCUCGUGCCAUUCCCCACCUCCCGCCACUGUCAGUGGCUUUGAGCAGCUCCAAUCCAUCUACACCCUCUGGCAAUGGCAGCCUCUUAACAGAAGAGCUCAGUCUGUGCCCUUUGACAAGUUUCUUCACCACCACAAGGCUGCACGUUCCUCUGGUAGCCACACACCUUCUUCGAUCAGGUCAGAAUCUCAGUCUUGGCUUGGGGGCCUCCCCUAGGCCUUAGUUCCUUUAUUGUCUCAUUUUCUUCAGUACAGAUAUAGUAACUGCUCUCAUGCUAAAUGUGGACACCUUAUGGUCCUCUUUUACCCCUUCUAGUAGUUAGUAACCUCCUACUGUUUUAAUUAACAAUGCUUUACAUUACAUUUCUCCUAUUCAAAUAACCAGUAUGGUUCUUAUCUCCUGACUUGAUCUUGACUGAUACACAUGGCCAGUAUGAGGGCCCAAACAGAGACCAGCAUAGCUAAAGUAGAGAGGGCAAGAACGAAUGUGCCAUGCAAGGAGGGUGGAGUGGGACACAGGGGCCAGACUAUGCUGGGCUUGCAGGACAGGGUAAGUCUUCUUGUCUUUAUCGUAAGAGGUCAGAUUUGUGUUUUGAAAAGAUUACAGGAUAGAGAAUGAUUUACAAAGGAACAAGGGUAAGUGCUAGGAGAUUAAUGAGUGGACUAUUGCUGCAGUGCAGGCAAGUGAGGAUGGUAGUUUUGGUGGGAAGGCAGGGGAAGAGACAGCAAUGAAUGAAUUCUAGAAAUACAUGGAAAUGAAAACCAACAGGAAAUGGGGAUAGACUGGAAAUGGGGAGUGAGAAAGAGGGAGAUGUCAUGACUGAUGACUAGAUUUCUGGUUUGCACAAUUGGAUAGGUGGUGCACUAGGAUCGGGAACACUAAAAGAGAGCCACGACUGGGAAGGGAGAUGAUGAGUUUGUUUUGAGCAUGUUGUUGAAGUGCUUUGAAAUAUCAAGGUGAAAAAGUCAAAGAAGAGUCUGGAGUUCAGAGUGUAGCCAGAACUAGGAAGAUGAGUUUGUGAGUCAUCUUACAUAAUUAAAGCUAGAGUAUGGCUGAAAUAAUCUAAGGACAGUGUGUAGCUUUAUAUGAUGAAGGACCUGAGAUCAAACAAGCCCUAGGGAGCUUCAGCAAUUUAACAGCCAGGUAAGGAAGAAUGACCUCCAAAGGGAACAGAGAGGAAGCAGUAAAGACAGAGGGACACAAUCAGGAGAGUGUCAUGUCAUAGAAACCACAGGGAAACGAUAGAGUUAAGGAUAGGGUGGUUAACAAUGCUGAAUACUGCUAAAGGGAAAAAAUAAAGAUUAAAAAACAAUGGCUAGAUUCAAUAAUAUGGAGGCCAUUGCUAAACUUACCUAUAACAGCUUACCUAGAGCAGUUUAUUUGGAGAGAUGGGGCUGAAAGCCGUAACAAUGAGGUGAUGAGUGAGAGGGAGGUGAAGAGUGGAGACAGGGAGUAAAGGUAACUCUCUGAAGAUGUUACAGAAUAAUGGUCUAGUGAUGAAGCCUCAAGAAAACUCCUUUUUUUUUUUGUUUUUGAGACACGGUCUCGCUGUCACCCAGGCUGGAGUGCAAUGGUGUGAUCACGGCUCACUGUGGCCUCGACCCCCAGCUCAAGUGAUCCUCCCACCUCAGCCUCCCAAGCAGCUGGGACUACAGGCAUUUGCUACCCUGCUCAGCUAAUUUUUGUAUUUUUUGUAGAGAUGGGGUUUGCCAUGUUGCCCAGGCUAAGAAAACCAUUCUCUCAUAAUUAUUAUAUACUUUGAUUUGCAAGUUUCAUCAUUCUUCUAUCUUUACAUGACAGGGUAAUAAACAAAAAUUUGGGGAAACAAUAACUUUGGAACAGAGACCAAAAUAGACAGGUUUAUGCAGCAGACACAAUGUCAGUUCUGCCUUCUCAUAAUGUCUUUAUCAAAUACAGAUAUACUUUAUUAUUUCAUUCAAAUCCUAUGAAGCUUGAUGAGCUCAGAGGGCAUAAAGGUGGUAACUUUCUGACUGGAAUAACAUCUUUAGUUUUAUUUACAUUCACUGUCUUUACAAGAUCUUAUAUGUCAUUAAUACCUUAAUAGGUUUAAUAUAUAUGUAUAUUAUUAUAUAUAAUAAUACAUGUAUAUUUUAUAUAUGUAUAU
rnacentral:lncRNA from 1 species